GAUGAACGCUGGCGGCGUGCCUAAUACAUGCAAGUCGAGCGAACAGACGAGGAGCUUGCUCCUCUGACGUUAGCGGCGGACGGGUGAGUAACACGUGGAUAACCUACCUAUAAGACUGGGAUAACUUCGGGAAACCGGAGCUAAUCCCGGAUAAUAUAUUGAACCGCAUGGUUCAAUAGUGAAAGACGGUUUUGCUGUCACUUAUAGAUGGAUCCGCGCCGCAUUAGCUAGUUGGUAAGGUAACGGCUUACCAAGGCGACGCUGCGUAGCCGACCUGAGAGGGUGAUCGGCCACACGGGAACGGAGACACGGUCCAGACUCCUACGGGAGGCAGCAGUAGGGAAUCUUCCGCAAUGGGCGAAAGCCUGACGGAGCAACGCCGCGUGAGUGAUGAAGGUCUUCGGAUCGUAAAACUCUGUUAUUAGGGAAGAACAAAUGUGUAAGUAACUAUGUACGUCUUGACGGUACCUAAUCAGAAAGCCACGGCUAACUACGUG
rnacentral:rRNA from 1 species